CCGCCAAGAAAAUGAACUAUAUGCGAGAGUUUUUCAGCAAUGACAAGGACCAAUGCAUAUACGUAGUAACGGAGAGAAACAUUUUGCCUUAGACAGGCAACUAAACAUUCCAUCUACUGAACUGUGCUAGAACAACUGACAAAUAGAAGUUGGACCAUCAAAUUUAAAGUAGUGAUGUAUUCUUCCUCUCUUGGACUAACCAUUUUCAUCAAAUUAAAGAUUUUCUACAAGUCGACAGAGAAAAUAUCUACUCCCCCCACCCCCCCACCCCCUUCACCCAACAACAACAACAAACUCAUACCCAGAGUUUGAGAAUUACGAUCCUCAACACGUGUUAUAAUUUAAAAGGAAAACAUUAAAAUAUAGCCAUAUACUUUUGCUAAUAGGUCUGAUUGCCCUUUCAUUUGAAGCUUGACACAUCCAUGUAGUUUUUGGCUAAAAACUAAAAAAUUCACUUAACUUUGCCCUUGUGGUUUGUGAAACGUCUAACCUUUUGUCCUUAGCGAAAUGGAUUUACACAGAGAGUCAGCACUCAUUUUCGUUGCACAUUCCUUCUUCCACUGUAACCAUGUCGCAACCAGUGAUUCUACCAUCAAUCAACAACAACAACAUACUAGUUUAUUCUCACACAAUGGGGUCUGGAAAGGAUAAAGUGUACUCAGUCUAUACUACUACCUCACAUGAGGUAGAGAGACUGUUUUCGAUAAACUCUCGGCUCAAGACAUAUAACAGUAUAACAAACAAAAAACUUAAAAGUACAUAAAAAAAAAUGGGAUAACACACUGCUAGAUAAUAAAGGAAAUUCCAUCAUCCACCACCAUACCUAAUUCCGCCAUCAGUCGACCAAUUUGCCUUCACAACUUAUCUUCUCCAUUAAACUCAUAUUUGAAAUCCAUCUCUCUAUCCACCAUCCCUCCACCUCAAAUCACAGCUUUCACCACCACUCAUGCAUACACGAUAGUUUCUUCCGGAGCACAUCACCAAUGUUUCCGAUAUCACUCCAGAACUUCAAGACCAUAGGUAUUACACAAAAUGAGUUGACAGGUGAACUAGAACAGGGAAUUUCUUUCUCUCUUUUGUAUUAUGGAGGAAUUUUUUGGGUGUUUUGAAUUGUUGCAAAAGCUGUGUUUUUGUGGCGAUGCAGCCACAUAGCAAGUUUCUAGGGCAAGUUUGUCAAAAGAAUACCAUGGAAUUUUUUUUUUUUGUUAAAGUUUCAAACUUGAUAAAUAAUUUGUCAAAAAGACACUUAAUUCCA
rnacentral:lncRNA from 1 species